rnacentral:lncRNA from 1 species
GAGGAUCACCUCCGUGCCACGCGUACCGUAUGGGGCCCGGUAGGCGUUUAUGGAGGGAAGCGACCGUUCCCCGCAACUUGCACGGCUUACUCGAGUCCCCGUCUAGUUAGGAACCUCAUAAUAAAUGCCUUUAUGGGCUGUCACGUGCAUACAUCCAUUUUACCUAAAGUGCUAAACGCACAAAAGCUCUUCACAGAUGCACUUGGGGGAUGCUGCAGGGUCGGGUGGGGGCGGGCCCUGCGGACCUCUCUGGAUGGUCGCUGGGCCUCCUUCCACGCCGACCCCGCUGCUGUCCCCAGACCCGCUGGCGCGUCCCCGUUCCUGCACGAGGGCACUGUCGUUCGGUUUUCUCCAUUUCUCCACCUACACCUUCGAAACCUCUUCUCGGGAACAGCACACCCUACCUCCCGCUCCAGACAGGUUUCUGCGCUAGUCUUAAUUUGGAAAUAAUCACUACAAAUUGGAUUUCUGUUCAGCGCCUCCCACGCUCCUCGAUUAACUCCGGCACGUUAACAAACACCAAAAUACUCCUGUGAAAAUAUUUCCCCCUCGGAGAACGCUGUUUCUUUUUUCAGCCCCCUCUGUUUAAUGCCAUCUGACGGGAGCUGACUGUAGACUUAAUGACGCUUUUACUGAAGCCUGCCAUGUCUCCGUCAGACACGCGGUGACAAGAGCCAGAGCCGGGAUGGAGGGAGACCGUGUGCGAGGUGGUGCCUCGGAGCUGAGGCUGCCUCCCCGUAGACGUAACGAGACACAGAAGCAGAAGGCACGUUGGCAAAGAGCAAAGUGGCCACCUUCAAACAGAUGCGGGAUGGCAACCUCCAACCAGCAGCUCAAGCUUCAGGCAGGAGGACCAGGAAAAUGCAGAAGUGAGAGAGAGAGACAGCAGAGUUUGGGGUUGGGGCAGCGACGGCGCCCAUCGGAGGUACAGGACGUGAACCCUUGUGGGGCUGAAGUUAGGGCUGGCAUGGCCACAGGGCUCUGCGGGCCAGGCGGGGGACUCUGUCAUCGCCUCGGGGAGCCACACACCCUGUCCCGCAGACGAGUGUCAUGAGUGUCACGGCUGGAUCAGAAGGUCCACACGGGUGUGUUUUGGAGAGCUGGCUAGGGUGUGGGUGGCAGAAGCCCAGGUCGGAGGUGGAGACCGUCCCAGUGCUGCCGGGACCAUUUAGGAAGGAUGGACGGGACUCUGCUGUCGAGGGUGAUGAGCGGUGGCAGGAGGUGGGCCGUUCAGCUCUGGGUUAGGGACGACCAGAAGAUCGGGGCUUAAAGAGGAAGGUGACUUCAGGGGGAAAUGCUGCUUGGGCCCUGGGCCCUCUGAGUGGAGACACCCUGCAGGCAGAGAAUGCCUGAAAGGAGGGAGAUAUUUGGCUACCAUCGGCCUUCCAGGUCCAAGGUGCCUGAACGGGCGGGUGUGAGCGGAGAGGUGGCCCCAGCCCCAGGCAGGCGUGGGAGGGGGAGGGGCUGGGCCUGAGCUGGGUCCACCAGAGUGCUGGCUCUGACCGCUGUCCUCAGUGUCCAUGCACACAGGCAGGUCCCGGGACCCAUCCGGGAGGACUGUCCUUUCUCGUGUGACCCGGUUCCAGAUAAGAUGACGCUAAUAAUACCCAGUCACCUCUCUGGACUGUGAGGAGUCGGCAGCUAAUGUUUGCACUGGGCUCGUUAUGAAAUAGCCCGUCCUGAGGCACGGUGCACUUGUCCUUCCUCUCCUCUCCCAGGAUUCUGGAACAGUCUACAGCUGCCCGCACAGCCCUGGUCUUCCCCCAGGUGUCCGGAAGCCUGUGCCUGAGCAUCUCUUGGAAACAACUAUCUUCAUUGGCAGCCCCGUCUUCAAACAGUCGGCCUACGAGAAUGCUCACUCAGAGUCCACUGCUAUUUCUAGAUGAGAAAGCGCGGCCCCGGGGACUGAGCAGGUGGGUGCUGUGUGACCGAGGACGCCUCUCCCUCUCUCAAUUCCUGCACGACGGGAAUGUCGCGUGAGCCGGAUGAACUGUGGAGACCCAGCCCCGAUGUGCUGGCUGUCUGGUGCUAGACCAAACGUCUCACGGCCCACC